AUGUGCACUGUAUUCCUUCUUUCUACAAUUGUGCCUGGUACUAUAGGUGUAUUUCGUGUGAAACUGCUCCGAGUCAACAUUAUCCUUAAAAGAUCCAACAUUAGCGAAGCAAUAGAAAUUGUGAUGACCUCAAGCAUACAAUUAAGGGGAUAUUCAUUAUUCAAUAUCAGAAUAGUACAGAACAGUGCAGUAGGUAAUCCUACAAAAUGUUUGCUUAGCACAGCUUCAACGUGGCAUAGUGGAGAGUGCCCCUUCUUUCGAGUUAACCAGUUCAAAUGGAUGCCAUUUUAUAACCUAAUUUGCCUUUUAUUUGAUGGGUGUUGGUUUUAA
rnacentral:rRNA from 1 species